rnacentral:rRNA from 1 species
GAUGAACGCUAGCGGUGUGCUUAACGCAUGCAAGUCGAACGGGAAGCUUUGUACUGAUUCUUCGGAUGACGUAUGAAGUGGAGAGUGGCGAACGGGUGAGUAACAUGUAGAUGACCUGCCUCUCGGAGGGGGACAACCAGUGGAAACGCUGGCUAAUACCCCAGAUGUUAACCUUUUUAGAAAGGGUUGACUAAAACUCCGGUGCCGAGAGAGGGGUCUGCAUCCCAUCAGCUAGUUGGUAAGGUAACGGCUUACCAAGGCAAAGACGGGUAGGGGACGUGAGAGCGUGAUCCCCCACAUUGGUACUGAUACACGGACCAAAUACCUACGGGUAGCAGCAGCGAGGAAUCUUGCGCAAUGGGCGAAAGCCUGACGCAGCAACACCGCGUGGAGGAUGAAGGCCUUAGGGUUGUAAACUCCUUUUCUGAGGGAAUAGAAAGGAAGGUACCUCAGGAAUAAGCUCCGGCUAACUACG